rnacentral:rRNA from 1 species
UGGGGAAUUUUGGACAAUGGGCGCAAGCCUGAUCCAGCCAUGCCGCGUGCAGGAUGAAGGCCUUCGGGUUGUAAACUGCUUUUGUACGGAACGAAAAGGUGCCUUCUAAUAAAGGGCGCUCAUGACGGUACCGUAAGAAUAAGCACCGGCUAACUACGUGCCAGCAGCCGCGGUAAUACGUAGGGUGCGAGCGUUAAUCGGAAUUACUGGGCGUAAAGCGUGCGCAGGCGGUUUUGUAAGACAGAGGUGAAAUCCCCGGGCUCAACCUGGGAACUGCCUUUGAUACUUUUAUUCUUGAGUUCGGGAGAGAGGGACGGAAUUCCAGGUGUAGUGGUGAAAUACGUAGAUAUCUGGAAGAACACCAGUUGCGAAGGCGGUCUCUUGGUCCGACACUGACGCUGAGGCGCGAAAGCGUGGGGAGCAAACA